UACGGGGGGAGCAAGCGUUGUUCGGAUUUACUGGGCGUAAAGGGCGCGUAGGCGGCCACGACAAGUCACUUGUGAAAUCUCCGGGCUAACUCGGAAAGGUCAAGUGAUACUGUCGGGCUAGAGUACAGAAGGGGCAACUGGAAUUCUCGGUGUAGCGGUGAAAUGCGUAGAUAUCGAGAGGAACACCUGCGGCGAAGGCGGGUUGCUGGGCUGAUACUGACGCUGAUGCGCGAAAGCCAGGGGAGCGAACGGG
rnacentral:rRNA from 1 species